rnacentral:rRNA from 1 species
AACGAACGCUGGCGGCGUGGAUAAGACAUGCAAGUCGAACGGGACUAAAUCUGUAGCAAUACAGGUUUAGUUUAGUGGCGAACGGGUGCGUAACACGUGGGCAAUCUGCCGAGAAGUGGGGAUAGCUCGCCGAAAGGCGAAUUAAUACCGCAUAUGAUCAGCUAAGACAUCUUAGCGACAUCAAAGCCGGGGUAACCUGGCGCUUCUUGAUGAGCCCGCGGCCAUCAGCUAGUUGGCGAGGUAACGGCUCACCAAGGCUAUGACGGGUAGCUGGUCUGAGAGGACGACCAGUCACACUGGAACUGAGACACGGUCCAGACACCUACGGGU